rnacentral:rRNA from 1 species
UACAGAGGGUGCAAGCGUUAUUCGGAAUCACUGGGCGUAAAGCGCGCGUAGGCGGCUUAGUAAGUCCGAUGUGAAAUCCCUCGACUUAAUCGAGGAAGUGCAUUGGAAACUGCUAGGCUGGAGUAUAGGAGAGGAGGACGGAAUUCCUGGUGUAGAGGUGAAAUUCGUAGAUAUCAGGAGGAACAACGGUGGCGAAGGCGGUCCUCUGGACUAUAACUGACGCUGAUUGCGCGAAAGCGUGGGGA